rnacentral:rRNA from 1 species
UACGAAGGGGGCUAGCGUUGUUCGGAAUUACUGGGCGUAAAGCGUGCGCAGGCGGUGAUGCAAGACAGAUGUGAAAUCCCCGGGCUUAACCUGGGAACUGCAUUUGUGACUGCAUUGCUGGAGUGCGGCAGAGGGGGAUGGAAUUCCGCGUGUAGCAGUGAAAUGCGUAGAUAUGCGGAGGAACACCGAUGGCGAAGGCAAUCCCCUGGGCCUGCACUGACGCUCAUGCACGAAAGCGUGGGGAGCAAACAGG